AUUGAACGCUGGCGGCAGGCCUAACACAUGCAAGUCGAGCGAGCGGCGGACGGGUGAGUAAUGUAUGGGGACUGCCCGAUAGAGGGGGAUAACUACUGGAAACGGUGGCUAAUACCGCAUACUAUCGGAUAACCCAUAUGGGAUUAGCUAGUAGGUGGGGUAAAGGCUCACCUAGGCAACGGUCUCUAGCUGGUCUGAGCGGAUGAUCAGCCACCGUGGGACUGUGACACGGCCCAGCUUCCUACGGAGGAGGAAGUGGGGAAUUUGUCACAAUGGGCGCAAGCCUGAUCAGGCCAUGCGGAGGUUAUGAAGAAGGCCUUGUGGUGGUAAAGUACUUUCAGGGGGGAGGCUUUACCCGACGAAGAAGCACCGGCUAACUCCGUGCCAGCAGCCGCGGUAAUUC
rnacentral:rRNA from 1 species